rnacentral:lncRNA from 1 species
UAUGUGACGACCCCAAAUCCAGGUACUUGAAACCCGAACUCGGUUCCCCACGAUACCAUUUCUUUAAGCUGAAUAAUACUAAAUAAUAAUACAUUCGAACUUAAUUUACAUACAUCAAAGUUUACUUCCCCAGGUACGUGACCUUCAAAUACAUUCCUUACAAUACUUGAAUAGAUACCAAUACAACUAUAACCAUUAACUCAUAAUACACACUUAUUCGAUCAGCUUUCCUUUUCCU